AACUGCUGCUUUGUAGCCGAGACGGUGUUUCUAACGCUUGCCAUGUCCUGGCAGAAAGCAUGGUGUGGGAUGACAGAUGAUGCGGGCUAGACAAGCUCUGUGUUCUCUGAAUCAUGUUUAGAGAGCAAAGGAGACUGUGGCAAGCACCAUACACGUGUGCCUAGUGGGAAAACCUCAGAACUACUCAGGUCUUUAACUGUCUUUGAAGACAGCCAUCUUUCCUGCCCCCUGUGGACAAUAAGACAACUGAACAU
rnacentral:lncRNA from 1 species